rnacentral:rRNA from 1 species
GUGAGGAAUUUUCCGCAAUGGGCGAAAGUCUGACGGAGCAAUGCCGCGUGAAGGAUGAAGGCCUAUGGGUUGUAAACUUCUUUUCUCAGAAAAGAAUUAUGACGGUAUCUGAGGAAUAAGCAUCGGCUAACUCUGUGCCAGCAGCCGCGGUAAGACAGAGGAUGCAAGCGUUAUCCGGAAUGAUUGGGCGUAAAGCGUCUGUAGGUUGUUUAAAAAGUAUUCUGUCAAAGAUUAGGGCUUAACCCUAGAUAGGCAGAAUAAACUUUUAAGCUAGAGUUUGGUAGAGGCAGAGGGAAUUCCCGGUGGAGCGGUGAAAUGCGUAGAUAUCGGGAGGAACACCAAAGGCGAAGGCACUCUGCUGGGCCAAUACUAACACUGAGAGACGAAAGCGAGGGGAGCAAAUGGGAUUAGAAACCCUGGUAGUCC